rnacentral:rRNA from 1 species
AGAGAAGCUAAUACCGCAUACGCUCGGCCAUUCAGUUGGUCGAGUAAAGCUCCGGCGCUCCAGGAGGGGCCUGCGUCCGAUUAGCUAGUUGGUGGGGUAAUGGCCUACCAAGGCGAUGAUCAGUAGCUGGUCUGAGAGGACGAUCAGCCACACUGGCACUGACACACGGGCCAGACUCCUACGGGAGGCAGCAGUGAGGAAUAUUGGUCAAUGGGCGAAAGCCUGAACCAGCAACGCCGCGUGAGGGAUGAAGGCCUUCGGGUCGUAAACCUCUUUUCUGGGAGAAGAGACAAGGACGGUAUCCCAGGAAUAAGUCUCGGCUAACUACGUGCCAGCAGCCGCGGUAAAACGUAGGAGGCAAGCGUUAUCCGGAUUUACUGGGCGUAAAGCGCACGCAGGCGGCUGCGUAAGUCGGACGUGAAAACUCCCGGCUCAACUGGGAGAGGUCGUUCGAAACUGCGCGGCUUGAGGUUGGAAGAGGAGAGCGGAAUUCCCGGUGUAGUGGUGGAAUGCGUAGAUAUCGGGAGGAACACCAGUGGCGAAAGCGGCUCUCUGGUCCACACCUGACGCUCAGGUGCGAAAGCGUGGGUAGCGAACGGGAUUAGAUACCCCGGUAGUCCACGCUGUAAACGAUGCGAACUAGGUGUUGGUAGUAUUAAACCUAUCAGUGCCGAAGCUAACGCGAUAAGUUCGCCGCCUGGGGACUACGGCCGCAAGGCUAAAACUCAAAGGAAUUGACGGGGGCCUCGCACAAGCAGCGGAGCGUGUGGUUUAAUUCGAUGCAACGCGAAGAACCUUACCU